ensembl:misc_RNA Y_RNA Y RNA
UGCCGGUCCAACUGGUAGUGGGUUAUUAGAGCUUAUUAACUUUAGUGUCACAGAAAUUAGUAUUCAACCCUGCACUGCUAAAUUUGACUGGCUAAA